UUUUGUCAGAAAACUCACCUACGUUAGCAGAGACGGAAAAACAUCGGUCUAGCCCCGUUAGACACGUCUUCUUUUCCAUAUUUGUGCAGUCGCCAGUACAUUCAUAGCACUGCAGAGCGCUGCCUGGCAGAUGAGAAAAAAG